rnacentral:rRNA from 1 species
UACGUAGGGGGCUAGCGUUGUCCGGAUUUAUUGGGCGUAAAGAGCGUGUAGGCGGCCAGGUAGGUCUGCUGUGAAAACUCGAGGCUCAACCUCGAGACGUCGGCGGAAACCAUCUGGCUAGAGUCCGGAAGAGGAGAGUGGAAUUCCUGGUGUAGCGGUGAAAUGCGUAGAGAUCAGGAAGAACAUCGGUGGCGAAGGCGCUCUGCUGGACCAUAACUGACACUCAGGGACGAAAGCUAGGGGAGCGAAUGGG